CCACUCUCUUCCUUUUGUUUAAACCUUUCUUAAUUCUUACAUAUUCUCUGAUUCCUUUCUAAUGUCAGAAAUGCACCAUGGUUGGGCGAGUUUUAAUGCUACUUCACAAGGGGAUUGAAGCAUCCAACAUAUUGGCUAUGACAUUCACCACAAUAGCUGCUUUAGAAAUGAGGGACACGAUUGGAGUGACUGAAAAGACAACAGCAAAAGAACUCAUGAUCAUCCCCUUCCAUUCAUUCUCAUUGCAACUUUGUCGCUUACAUGCUGACAAGGUAGGUCGAACACCAGAGUUUUUGGUGUAUGGACAGGGACAAUAAAGAAAGGCAAUCAUUGAAGUUGUUCGUCUCUCAGAGAGUGGAAAUAAAAUACAGAUUUCAGAUUCUGAUGGCAAACUUAGUGAGGAGUCUAGUGUCACCAGAUUGAGAAAGUGGUUAUGCGGUUAAGAACUUUGGGUACAUUUUUAAAUGGUUUAACAGGUUCUCUACAUCUAUUAAUUUAUCUAUCUUCUAGAUUAGACUGCUCACAUUGUUAUUGUUUCCAAUAUAAUAUAAUAUAAUUCCAAAAUUCAGAGAGUUAGCCUACCUCAUGCUCUUGAAUUUCGUAAAGAGUUGUCCAAGCUUCCAGAUAUGGACCGGUUGUUGGCGUGCAUCUUUUCUUACAGGUAAAAUGAUAAACACCCUAGUUGGUUAAAUAUAUAAUGUAUCAUGAUGUUGGCUAUUCAUGUUGAUAUGAAGCAGUGAAGCUAGUGGUAGGAAUUCGAGCAAAGUGGUUCUGUAUGAGGAUGCAUCAAAGAAACAACUUGAACAGUUCAUAUUGGUUCUCAGUGGGUGUGAAGUAAUUAUAAAUGCAUGCUCCUUGCUAGGUGUCAUCCUAGAAAACACUGAUUCUAGACUGCUACAUCACCUGCUUGUAGAAUUGUUACAGAUAUCGAGUUUAGUAUGAGAAAGCAUUUGAAGGAACAGAGAACACUUCUUGGAGAUCCAUCGAUCAAUUAUGUUACUAUUGGAAAGGAUACAUAUCUUCUUGAAGUAGCUGAAAGUUUGUCUGGUAGCGUUCCUUGUGAGUAUGAGUGUCGAUCAUCUAAGAAGGUUGGUUGGUUUAGAGUAUAGUUAAUUUUAGUGUUGUGUGUGUAAGAAGGUCGAUUCAGAUUAAUCAUGAAUAUGGAUGGAUGUGCAAGGUUUUGUCCGAUACUGGACCCCUGAAAUUAGGAAUUUGAUGAGGAACCUGUUAGAAGCUGAAUCUGAGAAGGAGUCCAAGCUGAAAAGCAUCAUGCAGAGGGUGAUUGGGCGGUUUUGUGAGCAUCAUGUGAGCUGGAGACAGUUGGUUUCUAUAGCUGCAGGUGUUUAUAUUGAUGCAAAAAGUCUAGGGCAUCCUGUGCUUGGAAGUGAUAGUCUAGGAGGAGGAGGGAAUACCUUUUUCCCAAAUGAUGUUUAUAUUGGUGGGGCGGAUCAUGUCCAAUAAAACACUAACUAAUCACCACCUAACAAAACUGUUUCCACUUUCCACAUCUUUGAAGUUUGAACACACAUAAAUCAAAUCCCAUCAAGACACGGAUUGAGCUUGCAAAAGUGUGUACGACCAACCACACGCAACCACCCUGGGUACACACCCUUCUUGCAGACCAACUUCAGAUGGAAUAUUCCGAUCAACUACAUCACCAACUCCAAGCUGCCCAUACUUAUUCCAUCCCCAACAGAACAACUUCCCAUCAUUAUAAAAAAAUCAAUUACUUAAGCGUCCAACCAUACUGAGUACAUGUUUUUUUUAAAAAUUAUUUUUACAGUUUUACGGUACCUGUAACAACAACACUGUGAUGGGCCACACAAGAUACCACACUUGCGUGUUCGUUUUCCAGACUUGGAGCAUCUAAAAGGUGUGGCGAUGUCUAACAAAAAACAAGACAAUAUCUUUGUGAGGAUGGGUGCAAAAGACCAUAUGAUGGCAGGCCAUGUGAUUUUUAUGAUGCAAAGAGAGAGCUUCUGUGAACAGAACCUGUUACAAUGGAUGCUGGUGAAAGAUACAUAUUAUGAUGCAAAGUAUAUGAAAGAUAAAAAUUAUGAGGAGACUAACUAUGUUCCAAUUAAACAUGGGAGUCGUGUUGUACUUAUGAUUAACAUGUAUGCAAUGUAAUCUCUCUUGCUUAGUUGCUUCUUGCCCUUUGAUAAGUGGUAUCUUACCCUAGCCUAUGUUAACAUUUUAACGGAAGUCAGAACUCAGAAGCUAUUUAUAUGCAUAUUGUUUUAUCUUUUUCAAAGUAAAUAAGAUAAAUAAUUAUGUAUUUGUUUUUGACAAAUUGGAUUUGUGAUUUGGAAAUUGUAAAUCUCAGAUUAGGGGGGACACCUUCAAUGGAACUGAUGAUUGCUGCUGGAAAGGUUGUUCCUAUUUUAUAGUUGGAACAUGGAGUAGCUAUUUUUAGAGUGUAUACAGGCUCAUUCAUGAAUUCUCUUGAUAUGGCAGGUUUGUUAAGAUCAUUUUGUUUUCUGAUACAAAAAAGUGGCUAAUAUCUUUGCUACUGUUGAAUACAAGGUUGAUCCUACUACAUGGCCAAUAAUGAUCUUUAGGGUCUGCUAGAUGGAUUGGAGAUUGUAGUUAAGCUUCUAUCUAAGACUUCACGCCAAGGACUUGAUGAAUUUAAGCUAGCAAUGUUUUACUUGAUUUGGACAUGAAGCCUAAGAUAUCAUACUUUGGCAUGGCUAGAUGCUUUGGUGGAAAUGAGACUCAAGCAAAAGAAAACACACAGAGAGUUAUUGGCACAUAGUAAGCUAGAUAACGCAAUUGUAUAUAAAUUCUGCUUCUCUUGAGUUCAU